rnacentral:rRNA from 1 species
CCUACGGGAGGCAGCAGUGGGGAAUCUUGCGCAAUGGGCGAAAGCCUGACGCAGCAACGCCGCGUGGGUGAUGAAGGUCUUCGGAUUGUAAAACCCUGUCGUUAGGGACGAAGACAUGAAUCCUAAUACGAUUCAUGUUUGACGGUACCUAGAAAGGAAGCCCCGGCUAACUCUGUGCCAGCAGCCGCGGUAAUACAGAGGGGGCAAGCGUUAUUCGGAAUUAUUGGGCGUAAAGGGUGCGUAGGCGGUUUUCUAAGUCAGAUGUGUAAUCCCCGAGCUCAACUUGGGAACUGCAUCUGAAACUGGGAGACUAGAGUACUGGAGAGGAUGGUGGAAUUCCACGUGUAGCGGUAAAAUGCGUAGAGAUGUGGAGGAACACCAGUGGCGAAGGCGGCCAUCUGGACAGUAACUGACGCUGAAGCACGAAAGUGUGGGUAGCAAACAGGAUUAGAUACCCUGGUAGUCCACACCGUAAACGAUGAACACUUGGUGUAGUGGGAGUUGACCCCCACUGUGCCGUAGCUAACGCGAUAAGUGUUCCGCCUGGGGAGUACGGUCGCAAGGCUGAAACUCAAAGGAUUGACGGCUGAGACGNGACGACGACGACGACGAGGGAGGAGG